rnacentral:rRNA from 1 species
AGCGAACGCUGGCGGCAGGCUUAACACAUGCAAGUCGAGCGGGCGUAGCAAUACGUCAGCGGCAGACGGGUGAGUAACGCGUGGGAACGUACCUUUUGGUUCGGAACAACACAGGGAAACUUGUGCUAAUACCGGAUAAGCCCUUACGGGGAAAGAUUUAUCGCCGAAAGAUCGGCCCGCGUCUGAUUAGCUAGUUGGUGAGGUAACGGCUCACCAAGGCGACGAUCAGUAGCUGGUCUGAGAGGAUGAUCAGCCACAUUGGGACUGAGACACGGCCCAAACUCCUACGGGAGGCAGCAGUGGGGAAUAUUGGACAAUGGGGGCAACCCUGAUCCAGCCAUGCCGCGUGAGUGAUGAAGGCCCUAGGGUUGUAAAGCUCUUUUGUGCGGGAAGAUAAUGACGGUACCGCAAGGAUAAGCCCCGGCUAACUUCGUG